GUUUUAUCAACUAGAAAUAUAUUUUUAUCAUUGAAAAUAUUUUGUGGAAAAAUAAGCCUGUAGGAAGGCUUUUGAACAUAAAAGAGGAGGGCAGAAAGGCCAGUCUUUAACCUGCCAAAAAAUCUGGACCCCGAGGCAUCGGUAAAUUCCUUCGUGUUGACGCUCAUCUGAACCAAUAACCACUGAGCUUCUCUUGACUCAAGAGAGGACGCUAACAGGCCAGGAUGUGGGUCGAUUUUGUGCUCCACACAACAUAGCCUGUUCUUUACGCUCUGACAGUCCAACCUAUUUCUGGGAGCAGUGGACCUCUCAUAAUCUGGAUAUAAGAACAUUCUGGCUCUUUUUAAUGGUGAGAUCCACACAUUCUUGCAUUUUUUUUUAAUAUCUUUUUUCUUCAUGAUUGACAAUUAAAAUAAUUCAGCUUUAAUUGGCUCAUUUCAGUGAGCAGCUAAAGGCUACAAUGACAGUGAAGAACAGUCUGGAAUACAAUGACUGAUUCAUGGAUAAUGAAUGAGGCAGCUGAGGUACCGCAAGCAACCCAUGAAGACCGAGCUCUGGUCAGCACUCUGGUCCAGCCUUUAAGCGCCCAGGCAGCAUCCAUCUUAUAAAGCCAGGUGCGUUUUUCAUCUCCACCACAGCCUUCGAGUGUCCCCCAUGUGCCAGGCCUGGGCAGGAUGCUGGAGACCAUUUGCAGGGUAAACAUAAAUCAACUAACUUGGGGAAGCCUUCCUCGGCACGUCGAUCUCAAUCAGAAGUUCUUCUCCAAGCAUUAUUCAUGGCAGCCUGUGCCUGUCACCAUAGUUUUCAGGCAUCUUUGCUCCUGGCAUAAUGCCUGGCUCACAGUAGACCUAAGAAAGCUUUGUCCCAUCUGCCUCUGUCUAGCCCACUGCAGGUCACUGGUUUUGACACCAAUGGCUGGAAGUUGCGCAUACUCCGUUUGGCAGGGGUUCUCAGCUCUGACUGCACAUUGGUAUCUACUGGGGAGCAAGGAAGCACUGCUGCUCCCCACAGUGGCCCCGCGACACCCCACUCCCAGCCUCCUCCACAGCUCCCCACGAGACUGGGACUGUGUUCCCACUUGCACUUCUCCACAGGCUUUAAGCCAUCCCUGGUGCUGAACUGGCCCUGGAGGCUGCCUUAGCUGUUCCCAGGCACCUACAUCACCGGCCUUUGGCUCUUCUUCCCAGGAGCGGCACUUCAACUGUCACUGCAGGACCUGACGGUGACCCGCUAGAGGCAAAAGGUAACUUGAGGGUGAUGGGGAGGGUCCAAUGUGAGUCUCAAAUGUUCAUAGUUUUAAAAGCCUUAUUUUAUUUAAGGAGAAGAGCAGGAAAGUAGACAUUGCAGCAUGACUAGGCCCUUCAAGGUUUUGGAAGGAGCCCGUGCCUAAUCCCACACCCUGAAUUUUAAGCUUUGUUAGCUUUGGAGUAAAUCUGCUUCUGAGAAUGGUAGCCACCAUUUAUUGGGUCAGUGGGGACCACAGACUUUUCAUAUAGGGCUCUACUUGUAACAAACAACCAAAGGUGUGGUAUUCUCAUUUUAAAAGUGAGGACUCUCUAGCCCAGAAGGUUCGAUAUUGAUGCCCAUGUCACACACGUGGAACUAGAAUUCAAACCCAUUACUGGGGAAAAUGGGGCCUGAAGGCCUUGGAAGCCCCUGUAUUAAUGGUUAAUUGGGACCCUUCAUGUGCCCUGAGCUUGUCAUAUUCAGCUCUCUUUCUAGGGUUCCAAAUUCUCAAAUAGUGGUCUCCAGGAUGGGGCGUGGGGGUGACAAGACUAUUGGAAUGAAGAAAGAAAUGACCAGAAAUUUGACUUACAUUGAUUUUUACCUUCACCUUCUAAAAUGGUCAUGGAUGUUUGUUUCAUAAAGUAUAUAUUAUAGAGUAGCACAUAUAUAUAAUUUAUUAGUCAGUACUAUUUGUGGCACAAGUUAAGAGGAAUUCUCUGGGCCAUAUUGGCUGGAUGGAAAUCUUGGGUUUGUCUCUGUGUCCUUGGGAAAGUCCUUUCUGUGCUGCAGUUUCCUCAUCAGCGAAAUAUUUGGGAGAGAAGAAUAUCUACCACACAGGGUUACCGUCAGAAUUAAAUGACUCAAUACAAGGGUCUCUUCUAUGAUGAAGGCAAUGAUUAUUAUUAUGUGUGCAUUGAAACCUAUUAAGGGUGUGUUCUCUCUCCCCCUCUUCCUGCUUCUCUAACCAAAACAGGAUGUGAUUUUAUAAGUUUGUCAAUUACUGCUCUAACUAUUCAACUGACUCUUCAGAGGCACAGAAACAAGUGAUGUCAGACCAAAACAGCUCCCUUCUGCCCAAGCCAGCUCAGCCUUGGGGUCCGGGCUUGUGCUGCUUCGUGGCCCAGUUCCACAAGAGCAGGCCCUGGCAUGAGGGGUUGUUACUUUGUGCUGUCCCCUGGCCCAGUGAGCCCGGGAACACACACAGAGGGCUACACAGAGGUUCCCUUGGAUAAUUGGCAGAUGGACAGGCUGAGAAACAAGGCUCUGUUCAUAGAGACUGCCUGCUCCAUCCACAAAAGAUGUGCUGGGGCCACCCCCUGCCAGCAGCCCAGGAAACAGCUGCCAAUACCUGCAAAGAACCCCUGCCACCCCAUAUCCAGGUUGAGGCACUGGGAAGUGGGGACAUCAGCUGCAAAGAAAGGAAGAAAGAAUUGCACUGACCUUUGCGAUGCUGGCUGCCUUUCUUUCCCCUGCUUCUCUUUCUGGUGAGGACCUCCCUGUUUCACCCUCCGGCAGCCCCAAUGCCUGUAAGCCCAGAUGUCUCUCCUGGAGCUUCCAACCCCCUGAAUGCUGCCAUCCUGCAUUCCUUCUCCCCAAGGGACCUUUGGCAAGUCCGACCCCCCACUCCAGGCUCUGUUCCUCUCUGGGCUGUCCUCUCAUUCUCUCACAGAGAUUUAUAACGUAUGCAAAUACAUGCAGAUGAUUAGGCAGAUGAUUAUGUAAAUGAUGUCUUCCCUCUUUUCAUCACAAUUGUGGUUACACUAAGAGAAAGUAACGAUGACUGAAAGAUAAAACAUACAGUCAACAUGUAGACGGUAAGGAAGCUGGAAUUUAAUCUAGACACACUGUGGAUAAAAUAAGAGAUCAUCGACCCCUCAAAUUUCCAUGAAAUCCUUAAAUCUGUAGUAAAUUAUAAAAUCUGAUUACCUGUAUCCACUCUGUUUUCCCAUUGGAAUUAGGCGAUCACAGAAAAUGAUCAAGCAAACUAACUGCUAAUUUUAUCAAAGCUCAUACUAUUACAUCGAUCCUCUGUGUAUAUUUUACACUGAAAAAAAGAUUUCCUGAAUUACCUAAUAAACAAAAUGUCUCUAUAGAAAGAGCCAAAAAAUACAAUUGUUAAAUUGCUCUUUGUAAACUUCUUUCCUCUAUUUUAAAGAAUUAAUAAAGCUGGCUUUUCAUGAACCAUUUAGAAGAAGCACUUGGGUUUUUAAUGUUGAAAUGGGAGUAUACUCACUCUUGUAGGUUACGAAAGAGCUACAAGAAAAUUAUGCACGUUUCCUGUAAUUUUUUUAAGUCUGAGAAAGGUUAUUGAAAGUUAAGUGCAUGAUGAUCACUGGGAAUCUAAUAAUUUAUACUAUUGCAGCUGAAAUCCUAUCUCCAAUUUCCACCCACACAUGCUACCUAUAAUUUACGAAAGUGACCCAAAUCCCAGCCACCCACAAGCUCCAGGACCUCUCAGAACAUUUUGUCUAAAGUUACAGAAACAAAUGUUAGUUUAGAGAACCACUAUUCAACAUGCAAAUUAUAUUCUAUUGUUUAGUUAAAAGCGUUUAGUUAAAACAAAUGUUAGUUUAGAGAAGCACUAUUCAACAUGCUAAUUAUAUUCUAUUGUUUAGUUAAAAGUUUAGUUAAAAGUUAAAAGUUUGGAAAUGUUUAAGGAAACAACAUGUCAGCACCACCAUCUGGUGGUGGGUGCAGAAAAAAAGCCCACUCUCUUGGUUUUGAUUCAUUUCAAUAGUGCUUCCUUAGGUUUGUCCCAUUUUCCCUCACAGAGCCUACAUCAUGAGAUGUUCCUGAGAACCACCUCGGUAAUUAAAAAUUCAAAAGUGUAGCAAAAAUUAGACUUUCUGCAAAAGUUCAGUUCUCAAAGUUUUAUGUAUUUUAAUAACAAAUAUUCUUGGAUUGUAUUUUUGUGCAAUGUUAUUGUCUCAAGAAAGCGGAUUCCUUGAUUGUACAAAAAAGGUAAUUUGGUUUUUCUUUUUGUUGGUAAUAUUUUUUAUGUAAGGCAAAAAUAGUAAAUUAUUGGACCAUGGUGUCUGUAGUUACAGGUAGAUGGAUAAGUCAAAAGUUAGGUUACUAGUGGAAACUUAGGGCUGGUAGGUAGCUCAGUGGCACCAUGCCUGCCUGGCAAGAGCAAGGUCCUGAGUUCAAUCCCCAGACUGGGGCAAAAAAAACACUAAUGGAAGCUUAACUUCUAUAUUAUCUUAUGCUAAGCUGUGACAGUUUUGAGACAGACAAUGGAUGGGCAGUCUUUCUACCCCCUUUCUGUAGUGCUCCUAAGAUGGCCUGCGCUGGUCCCCAGGAUGGGGAACAUAGGGUGGGACAUAGAGUGGUUAAUCUAAGAGUGGGGGUACACUGUGUUGAGCACAGCCUAUGUCUGGGUUCCACACAUAACAGGAAGUAAAACGCCCUAAAUGCCUGCCUAUGAGGACUUAAUCUUGGGGAGAGGGGAUAGAGAAUAAGCAAAUAAAAAAUAUGUCGUAUGUGAGACAGAAAUCAUGCUCUCACAAAAUGCAGUGCCAAGGAGACAGGGAAAGUCCAUGAAAUAA
rnacentral:lncRNA from 1 species